rnacentral:rRNA from 1 species
CCUACGGGCGACAGCAGUGAGGAAUAUUGGUCAAUGGGCGCGAGCCUGAACCAGCCAAGUCGCGUGAGGGAAGACGGUCCUAUGGAUUGUAAACCUCUUUUGUCGGGGAGCAAAAGACGCCACGCGUGGCGUUCCGAGAGUACCCGAAGCAAAAGCAUCGGCUAACUCCGUGCCAGCAGCCGCGGUAAUACGGAGGAUGCGAGCGUUAUCCGGAUUUAUUGGGUUUAAAGGGUGCGCAGGCGGAAGAUCAAGUCAGCGGUAAAAUUGAGAGGCUCAACCUUGGAACUACUACUAAAACUGUUGGACUUGAGUGCAGGAGGGGCAACCGGAAUGUCUAGUGUAGCGGUGGAAGGCGUAGAUAUUAGGAGGAACACCAGUGGCGAAGGCGGGUUGCUAGACUGUAACUGACACUGAGGCACGAAAGCGUGGGGAGCAAACAGGAUUAGAUACCCUUGUAGUC